CCCAUGUGGUCCUUGAGAUUUGAGGCUCAAUGACUAAAGGAGUGAUCCGUUUUGGGAGGGGCCUGUGGCCCAUCAGCUUGUUGGUAGGGUAAUGGCCUACCAAGGCUACGACGGGUAGGGGGCCUGAGAGGGUGACCCCCCACAUUGGCACUGACACACGGGCCAAACUCCUACGGGAGGCAGCAGUGAGGAAUAUUGCACAAUGGGCGAAAGCCUGAUGCAGCAACGCCGCGUGAGCGAUGAAGGCCUUCGGGUCGUAAAGCUCUUUUGAGAGGGACGAGAUAGGACGGUACCUUUUGAAUAAGUCACGGCUAACUACGUGCCAGCAGCCGCGGUAAAACGUAGGUGGCGAGCGUUAUCCGGAUUCACUGGGCGUAAAGCGAGUGCAGGUGGCUUUGUAAGUUGGAUGUGAAAUUUCCCGGCUUAACCGGGAAGGGUCAUUCAAUACUGGGCUUGAGGGUAAAAGAGGGGGGUUGGAAAUUGCCCG
rnacentral:rRNA from 1 species